rnacentral:rRNA from 1 species
UCCUUGGUGAUUCAUAAUAACUUAACGAAUCGCAUGGCCUUGCGCCGGCGAUGGUUCAUUCAAAUUUCUGCCCUAUCAACUUUCAAUCGUAGUAUAGAGGACUACGAUGGUUUCUACGGGUAGUCACUGUUGCCCGUAGUAGACACGUCCGGGCCCCCAAGGAGUCUCGGCAACACCACUGGUUUGGAAGAUACGAUGUUGAUUCCGGGGCGACUCCCUGCGGGACCGCCCGAACGCAUGCAAAGUGGUGGGCUCCUCUCGGGGAGCUUUUGGUACAUGCUGCCCCUGUGGCCGUUGCGUCGCAGGGGGUACAUGAACGGGGAAUUAGGGUUCUAUUCCGGAGAGGGAGCCUGAGAAACGGCUACCACAUCCAAGGAAGGCAGCAGGCGCGCAAAUUACCCAAUCCCGACACGGGGAGGUAGUGACAAUAAAUACUGAUGCAGAGCUCUUUUGGGUUUUGCAAUUGGAAUGAGUACAAUCUAAAUCCCUUAACGAGGAACAAUUGGAGGGCAAGUCUGGUGCCAGCAGCCGCGGUAAUUCCAGCUCCAAUAGCGUAUAUUAAAGUUGUUGCAGUUAAAAAGCUCGUAGUUGAAACUUGGGCCUGGCUGUCCGGUCCGCCUCACCGCGUGCACUGGUUCGGCCGGGCCUUUCCUUC